CAUUAGAUGACUGAAAAGCAAGUAGUGGUCUCUUAAACCAUAUAAUAGUAGUUUAGCAACUACUUCUAAUGA
rnacentral:tRNA from 12 species